UACGUAGGGGGCAAGCGUUGUCCGGAUUUACUGGGCGUAAAGAGCGUGUAGGCGGCCAAACAGGUCCGUUGUGAAAACUGGAGGCUCAACCUCCAGACGUCGACGGAAACCGUAUGGCUAGAGUUCGGAAGAGGAGAGUGGAAUUCCUGGUGUAGCGGUGAAAUGCGCAGAUAUCAGGAAGAACACCAAUGGCGAAGGCAGCUCUCUGGGACGGUACUGACGCUGAGACGCGAAAGCGUGGGGAGCGAACAGG
rnacentral:rRNA from 1 species